GAGCGAGAGUGCAGAUGGUUGUUAUAGAAUAAGGAUAUCGAGCAUGAUCAUUAUGAAAAAUCACUUGGAUAGCAAUCCACUCGUCAGUGAUUAGUUCGAUGUUGCAUUUAUGUGAUUAGCCCUUUGACUUGAGGUACUUCGAUUGUUCAUGAUGGGGCUAUUAUAAUUUGACUAUACAUACAUUUGGUCCUUGGUCAUAUGGAUCUUUAUGGUAUAUGUUGACUGUAGUAGAUUCAUUAUAGAAAUA
rnacentral:lncRNA from 1 species